rnacentral:lncRNA from 1 species
CUACAGUUCGUGCAUCCAUUCAUGAGGCUAGAGCUUCUUCAAGCUCAGUCUUGUCCUGACGCCAUCACUAAUCAUGUUCACCUUCUUCAACAUCCUUCAUCACCACCACCACCUCAGUAACUCUUUAAUGUAAUCAUUUAUAAUCUUGUAGUACUUAGUUUUUCCAAAAUCAAAUUUUCCUUUUUAUACAAAGUUUUUGAUUUUGGAUUCCUCUUGUAACAUUACCAACACCAAACAAUGAAAAAAAAUCUUCUCCAUCUACAACAAGAAAAAUGAAAAAUUAUAAACAUUAAGAAAGACUAACAUUGGAAAAAACAAGAAGUUAAUGUAAAAGAAAAAAACCGAAAAAUAAUAUUAUAAAUAAAAUAAAUUUAUAAUACACAAUGAAAAAAUCUCUAGUUAAUGUAAACGCUGCUGUAUUAAUUAAUCAUCAGAUGUUACUGGGGUUACUGUUUCGAAAGCCUUGCGACGGAAGAUCCAGGGAGAGCUUAUGGGGAAGACAUACAUCACGUGGAUGCAAACGUUGAAUUUGUAUCUGUUGUCAAGACUAAACUCGGAGUUCACCGUGUUCUCAUGGGUGCUGAAAUGGAUUGCUGCGACGAAACUGAUGAAGGAAGGAGGAUUUAUAUAGAGUUGAAAACAUCUCGUGAGGUAUGCCACUUAAUGCUAUAGUUUCCUUCAAAGCUCCAUUGUUAUUUCAGCUUCUGUUUUCAGUGUCUGAAACUCCCUGCUGUUUUUUUUUGCUUUCCAGUUGGAUGAUCGUACGGUAGAGAGAUUUGAGAGAGAGAAACUGCUUAAGUUCUGGGUACGUAUGGUGUCUGGUAUAUUAUAUCUUCUUUGUUUCUCAUUUCUUGUGAAUAACUAUGAGAAAACUUGUUCACUUCUGUGCAGAUACAAUCAUUUGUAGCAGGAGUGCCAUAUAUUCUCGUUGGAUAUAGGUAAACAUAGUCACACGAUUUUGGCUGGUUAACUCAUAAAAGUUUUCUCCUUUUCGAGAUUCAUCCAAGUAAAUGUUUUUCUUACUUGGUUGUAGAGAUGAUGGAGGGAGACUAGUACGCACAGAGAGACUGAGAACAAAAGAUAUCGCACACAGAGCCAGACUGAAAAACUAUUGGCAGGUUAGUGUUGUAUCCACUAAACUCUCAUUAUAAAUAAUCCAAGUCUUAUUAAAACUAAACACAAUUGAGUUUUUUGGGAGACUAGGGAGGAGUGUGUUUGGCAUUUGCUGAUGAGGUUCUUUGCUGGCUCUACGGCACUGUUAAAGAGAGUAAGCUCCCAUAUAAUUUUUUUUUUUUGUGCCUCUAUACAUAUAGAACAAAGUAAUAAGACCAAUAUCUUUAUGUGUUUUAUUUGCAGACGAAGAUUACACACUACAGUUCGUGCAUCCAUUCAUGAGGCUAGAGCUUCUUCAAGCUCAGUCAUGUCCUGACGCCAUCUCUAAUCAUUUUCACCUUCUUCAACAUCCUUCAUCACCACCACCACCACCUUCCUCCUCAGUAACUACUUAAUGUAAUCAUUUAUAAUCUUGUAGUACUUAGUUUUUCCAAAAUCAAAUUUCCUUUUUUAUACAAAGUUUUUGAUUUUGGAUUCCUCUUGUA